rnacentral:rRNA from 1 species
GGGAGGAAAAGAAACUAACAAGGAUUUUCUUAGUAGCGGCGAGCGAAAAGAAAAUAGUUCAGCACUAAGUCACUUUGUCUCUAUGGCAAAUGUGAGAUGCAGUGUAUGGAAUGUCAAAUUUCUAGUAUGAGAAAUUAACGAUUUAAGUCCUUCUUAAAUGAGGUCAUUCACCCAAAGAGGGUGCUAGGCCCGUAUAACGUUAAUGAUUACUAGAUGGCAUUUCCAAAGAGUCGUGUUGCUUGAUAGUGCAGCACUAAGUGGGUGGUAAACUCCAUCUAAAACUAAAUAUAACCAUGAGACCGAUAGUAAACAAGUACCGUGAGGGAAAGUUGAAAAGAACUCUGAAUAGAGAGUUAAAUAGUACGUGAAACUGCUUAGAGGUUAAGCCCGAUGAACCUGAAUAUCCGUUAUGGAAAAUUCAUCAUUAUGAUUUUAAUAUUAAUAAUAUUAUAAUAAUGGUGUGCAUUUUUUCUAUAAAGGACAUUGUAAUCUAUUAACAUAAAAAAUAUUUAUCAAAAGAUCUUUGGCUUAAGUUUAUUCGAAUUAUUUUGCUUGCAAUUUAAUACAGAAUAAAUGCCUUUGAUUUGAUAAAGUGUUGAUAGAUUUAUUAUAAUAUAGUGCUUAAAUAUUUAUAUUUUAUAAUAGCAUAUUAAUCAUUGAUUUUUAUGUUCAUUAUAUGCACUUAUAUGAUUUACAAUGCGAAAGAUUCAGGAUACCUUCGGGACCCGUCUUGAAACACGGACCAAGGAGUCUAACAUAUUUGCAAGUUAUUGGGAAUAAAAACCUAAUAGCGAAAUUAACAUAACUUUAUUAUGGGAUUAGUUUUUAGCCUAUAUUAUAGUCUAUUAAUUCAAUCCCGGGGCGUUCUAUACAGUUAUGUAUAAUAAUAUUUAUAUUAUUUAUACCUCUAACUAGAGCGUACCUUGAGCAUAUAUGCUGUGACCCGAAAGAUGGUGAACUAUACUUGAUCAGGUUGAAGUCAGGGGAAACCCUGAUGGAAGACCGAAACAG